GGAGGGUAUAGCUCAGUGGCAGAGCCCAUGCUUAGCAUGCAUGAGGUCCUGGGUUCAAUCCCCAGUACCUCCA
rnacentral:tRNA from 1 species